rnacentral:rRNA from 1 species
UCCCGGUUGAUCCUGCCGGACCCGACUGCUAUCGGAUUGAGAUUUAGCCAUGCGAGUUGAACGUCCCCCGACUGCGGGGGGCGUAGCAUACGGCUCAGUAACACGUAGUCAACCUGCCCUGGAGACGUGGAUAACCCCGGGAAACUGGGAUUAAUCCGCGAUAGGUCACCCCAUCUGGAAGGAGGGAUGGCCCAAAGGGGUGCUGUGAGCAUGUUUCACUUCACUCGCUCUAGGAUGGGACUGCGGCCGAUCAGGCUGUUGGCGGGGUAAAGGCCCACCAAACCUGUAACCGGUACGGGCUUUGAGAGAAGGAGCCCGGAGAUGGACACUGAGACAAGGGUCCAGGUCCUACGGGGCGCAGCAGGCGCGAAACCUUCGCAAUGUGCGAAAGCACGACUAGGUUAAUCCGAGUGAUUUCUGUUGAAGAAAUCUUUUGUCAGUCGUAAAACCACAGACGAAUAAGGGGUGGGCAAGUCUGGUGUCAGCCGCCGCGGUAAUACCAGCACCUCGAGUGGUCAGGAGGUUUAUUGGGCCUAAAGCAUCCGUAGCCGGCUACGCAAGUCUCCGGUUAAAUCCAGCUGCUCAACAGAUGGGCUGCCGGAGAUACUACAUAGCUAGGGAGCGGGAGAGGUAGACGGUAUUCUGUGGGUAGGGGUAAAAUCCACUGAUCCAUAGAGGACCACCAGUGGCGAAGGCGGUCUACCAGAACGCGUUCGACGGUGAGGGAUGAAAGCUGGGGGAGCAAACCGGAUUAGAUACCCGGGUAGUCCCAGCUGUAAACGAUGCAAACUCGGUGAUGCAUUGGCUUAUGGCCAAUGCAGUGCCGCAGGGAAGCCGUUAAGUUUGCCGCCUGGGAAGUACGGACGCAAGUCUGAAACUUAAAGGGAAUGGGCGGGGGAGCA